rnacentral:rRNA from 1 species
GAUGAACGCUGGCGGCGUGCCUAAUACAUGCAAGUCGAGCGAACAGACGAGGAGCUUGCCCCUCUGACGUUAGCGGCGGACGGGUGAGUAACACGUGGAUAACCUACCUAUAAGACUGGGAUCACUUCGGGAAACCGGAGCUAAUACCGGAUAAUAUAUUAAACCGCAUGGUUCAAUAGUGAAAGACGGUUUUGCUGUUUCUUAUAGAUGGAUCCGCGCCGCAUUAGCUAGUUGGUAAGGUAACGGCUUACCAAGGCAACGAUGCGUAGCCGACCUGAGAGGGUGAUCGGCCACACUGGAACUGAGACACGGUCCAGACUCCUACGGGAGGCAGCAGUAGGGAAUCUUCCGCAAUGGGCGAAAGCUUGACGGAGCAACGCCGCGUGAGGGAUGAAGGUCUUCGGAUCGUAAAACUCUGUUAUUAGGGAAGAACAAAUGUGUAAGUAACUAUGCACGUCUUGACGGUACCGUAUCAGAAAGCCACGGCUAACUACGUG